UCAAGGUAGAUUUAAGGUUUUUGCGCGAUGAAAAAUAUUUUUCGUCACUCAAGGUAGAUUUACGCGACAUUAAGGUUUUUGCGCGAUGACAAAUAUUUUUCAUCGUGCAAACCCUUUAUUCACGAGGUUUGCGCGAUGGAUCAUGCGCGGCGAAAUUUUACUUUGCGCAACAAACUUAUUUCGUCGCGCAAAGUGUUUUUGGUAGUAGUGG
rnacentral:lncRNA from 1 species